UACAGAGGUCUCAAGCGUUGUUCGGAUUCAUUGGGCGUAAAGGGUGCGUAGGUGGCGCGGUAAGUCGGGUGUGAAAUUUCGGAGCUUAACUCCGAAACUGCAUUCGAUACUGCCGUGCUUGAGGACUGGAGAGGAGACUGGAAUUUACGGUGUAGCAGUGAAAUGCGUAGAGAUCGUAAGGAAGACCAGUGGCGAAGGCGGGUCUCUGGACAGUUCCUGACACUGAGGCACGAAGGCCAGGGGAGCAAAACGGGG
rnacentral:rRNA from 1 species